rnacentral:rRNA from 1 species
UGUGUAGGCGGCUUUUUAAGUUUGGUGUGAAAUCUCCCGGCUCAACCGGGAGGGUGCGCCGAAUACUGAGAGGCUAGAGUGCGGGAGAGGAAAGUGGAAUUCCUGGUGUAGCGGUGAAAUGCGUAGAUAUCAGGAGGAACACCGGUGGUGUAGACGGCUUUCUGGACCGUAACUGACGCUGAGACACGAAAGCGUGGGUAGCAAACAGGAUUAGAUACCCUGGUAGUCCACGCCCUAAACGAUGCACAUUUGGUGUGGGUCAUUCAGUUGAUCCGUGCCGGAGCUAACGCGUUAAAUGUGCCGCCUGGGGAGUACAGUCGCAAGGCUGAA